rnacentral:rRNA from 1 species
UCUUCCUACGGGGGGCAGCAGUGGGGGAUAUUGCACAAUGGGGGAAACCCUGAUGCAGCGACGCCGCGUGAGUGAAGAAGUAUUUCGGUACGUAAAGCUCUAUCAGCAGGGAAGAAUAAUGACGGUACCUGACUAAGAAGCCCCGGCUAACUACGUGCCAGCAGCCGCGGUAAUACGUAGGGGGCAAGCGUUAUCCGGAAUGAUUGGGCGUAAAGGGUGCGUAGGCGGCCUGCUAAGUCUGGAGUGAAAGGUACCGGCUCAACCGGUACAGGCUCUGGAAACUGGCGGGCUAGAGAGCAGGAGAG